rnacentral:pre_miRNA from 1 species
AUUGGCGUCUUACCAGACAUAUUUAGAUCUAGCUAUCCGCGUCUAAUACUGUCUGGUAAUUCCGUCCAU